AUUGCCNGGGGGCACCAAACCCGGGAGGGGAAGGUUGGGGGGAUAACGUCAAAGUCANUCAUGGCCUUUAUGUCCCAGGGGGUACCAACACGUACUACAAUGGCCCGGUACAAAGGGGCUGCAAAACCUGCGAAGGGGGAGCUAAUCCCAGAAAACCGGCCUCAGUUCGGAUUGCAGUCUGCAACUCGACUGCAUGAAGGUGGAAUCGCUAGUAAUCGCGCAACAGCAUGGCGCGGUGAAUACGUUCCCGGGCNUUGUACACACCGCCCGAGANUCANAGAGUG
rnacentral:rRNA from 1 species